rnacentral:rRNA from 1 species
AGUCGACGGCAGCAUGAUCUAGCUUGCUAGAUUGAUGGCGAGUGGCGAACGGGUGAGUAAUACAUCGGAACGUGCCCUGUAGUGGGGGAUAACUAGUCGAAAGAUUAGCUAAUACCGCAUACGACCUGAGGGUGAAAGUGGGGGACCGCAAGGCCUCAUGCUAUAGGAGCGGCCGAUGUCUGAUUAGCUAGUUGGUGAGGUAAAGGCUCACCAAGGCGACGAUCAGUAGCUGGUCUGAGAGGACGAUCAGCCACACUGGGACUGAGACACGGCCCAGACUCCUACGGGAGGCAGCAGUGGGGAAUUUUGGACAAUGGGGGCAACCCUGAUCCAGCAAUGCCGCGUGUGUGAAGAAGGCCUUCGGGUUGUAAAGCACUUUUGUCCGGAAAGAAAUCGCACUUACUAAUAUUAGGUGUGGAUGACGGUACCGGAAGAAUAAGGACCGGCUAACUACGUGCCAGCAGCCGCGGUAAUACGUAGGGUCCAAGCGUUAAUCGGAAUUACUGGGCGUAAAGCGUGCGCAGGCGGUUGUGCAAGACCGAUGUGAAAUCCCCGG